GGGGGCGCCUUGGUUUCGACGGGGAUGCUGACGCUGAGCGGUGCAUGCCGAGGGGUAGUGACCUCGUAAAUCUCUGCUACAAAAACACAAACGCCAACAACAAGCGUUUCGCUCUCGCGGCCUAAUCCCCGCGGGAUGCUGCACUGAUUUGUCUUUGGGUCAGGCAGGGUAAAACCUGCGGCAGCAUCAAAUUACAAAGUCUAGGAACGGCGAGUGUCUCCGGCGACGUUCCGAAAUCAAGGGGACUGGGCAGCCGCUGGCCCGUCGAUUGGCAAAACGGCUGUUGAGAUUCAAAUGAUUCGACUACGCAUGUAGAUCCAUCAGAAAACGGUUUCCGGACGCGGGUUCAACUCCCGCCGCCUCCACCA
rnacentral:tmRNA from 1 species